rnacentral:rRNA from 1 species
GACGAACGCUGGCGGCGUGCUUAACACAUGCAAGUCGAACGGAAAGGCCCUGCUUUUGUGGGGUGCUCGAGUGGCGAACGGGUGAGUAACACGUGAGUAACCUGCCCUUGACUUUGGGAUAACUUCAGGAAACUGGGGCUAAUACCGGAUAGGAGCUCCUGCUGCAUGGUGGGGGUUGGAAAGUUUCGGCGGUUGGGGAUGGACUCGCGGCUUAUCAGCUUGUUGGUGGGGUAGUGGCUUACCAAGGCUGUGACGGGUAGCCGGCCUGAGAGGGUGACCGGCCACAUUGGGACUGAGAUACGGCCCAGACUCCUACGGGAGGCAGCAGUGGGGAAUAUUGCACAAUGGGAGGAAGCCUGAGGCAGCAACGCCGCGUGCGGGAUGACGGCCUUCGGGUUGUAAACCGCUUUCGCCUGUGACGAAGCGUGUGUGACGGUAAUGGGUAAAGAAGCACCGGCUAACUACGUG